UACGUAGGGGGCAAGCGUUGUCCGGAAUCAUUGGGCGUAAAGAGCGUGUAGGCGGCCCGGUAAGUCCGCUGUGAAAGUCCAGGGCUCAACCCUGGGAUGCCGGUGGAUACUGUCGGGCUCGAGUCCGGAAGAGGAGUGUGGAAUUCCUGGUGUAGCGGUGAAAUGCGCAGAUAUCAGGAGGAACACCGAUGGCGAAGGCAGGUCUCUGGGCCACUACUGACGCUGGAGAAGCGAAAGCAUGGGGAGCGAACAGG
rnacentral:rRNA from 1 species